GGGGGGGGGGCUGGGUGGGAGACAGGUAGAUAAGGGGACCCAGCGGGCAGAGCCUGGUGGGUGGAAACCCUGAUGCCUUGUGACUUUGGGCAAGAGUCUCUCCCUUUCUGAUCCCUUAGCCUGCCCUGUGGAAUGUUUCACUGAUAGAGGACCCAUGUGUUGUGGGCAACCAUGUUGUCUUAAGGAUGUCCCCUGGGAACUCCAAACGGGCCCCAAAUUCCACUUGAAUUACAGCCAGAUCUCUUCCUGACGGGGCCCUAUCUCACUCUCGGCACAGCCUGUGUCUCAUGAUAGCCGUAAAAGGCUGGGGAAGGUCUUUCCUUCAGGGGCCUCACCCGUGUCUUGAAAUUCUCCGUCCUGGGCACAGCCCUUAAAGUUGGAAACGUGCACCACCCCAGAGGGGGCACAGUGAUGGGGUUUGGAGCUCAAAAUCUGAAACCCCUUGCUCAGUGCUGCCCGCCACCCCACCCCCAGCUGUGUGAUCUUAGGCAAUAUGUUUAACUUCUCUGAGCCUUGCUUUCCUCAUUGGUAAAAUGGGGAUAUGGUAACAAAAUCUACCUCAAAGAGGAGGGGCGAGGGUAUAGCUCAGUGGUAGAGUGUAUGGUUAGCAUGCACCAAAUCCUCGGUUCAGUCCCCAUUCCCUCCAUUACAAUAAAUAAAUAAACUUAAUUACCUCCCUCCCAAAUAAAAUUUAAAAAAUAUAUACACCUCACAGAGCUGUGAAAUGUCAGUGAGAUGAUAAUAGUAGUAGUCAGUUAUCAUCGUCAUCUUUAUCAUCAUGGUGGCAGCAGGUAGACAUUAGUAUUACCCUCAUGUUAAAGGUGAGCAACUUGAGGCACAGAGAGGUUAAGUAACCUUCCCAGGGUUGCACAGCUUGCAGGUGGAAGAGUGGGGAUUAGAACCCAGGCACUCUGCUGCCAUCAGUGGUGCUCUUCCUCACUGUUUCAUAAAGGGUUGUGAUGGUAAAUGUUUAACAAGUGGAUCUCCAUGGGCUGAAAGUCCACAUUUUAGCAUUUGCUCAUGUCUGUGGUGUAGAUACUCCCACUACACUGAUUUCUUUUUCUUUCUUUCUUAUUUUUCUCUGAGUGGAGAGAGGUAAUCAGGUUUAUUUAUUUUUAAUUUUUUUUUUAACGAAGGUGCUGGGGAUUGAACACAGGACCUCAUGUAUGCUAGGCAGGAGUUCUACCACUGAGCUACACCCUACCUCCCCUCUCCCUGAUGAUUUCAAACUACCCGUGUGAUGACCCUACACUUGGGGUCGGGAAAGGAUGUGCUGAGUUGGCUCUCGGAAGUCUCCAGCCCUCCAUGGGCUACGUACCCUCCCUCUUCAGUCAUGUUAUCCCAGUGUCUCACACUACAUAACAUGUCGCUAAUGUUCUUUUUCCCUCCUUUUUUCUUCCCCACCACACGUCCACUCAUAAUUGGGGAUCCACUCAUACUUUUUGAGGAGCUCCAGUUACCUAAGUUGUUACUUAUUAGAUAGUGGUCAUAGGAUGGUCUCUAAAAUUUUUAAAUAAAAUACACCAUGGAGGAGAGAGCAUGUGAAAACAAUUAGUUG